GACGAACGCUGGCGGCGUGCUUAACACAUGCAAGUCGAACGGAAAGGCCCUGCUUUUGUGGGGUGUUCGAGUGGCGAACGGGUGAGUAACACUUGAGUAACCUGCCCUUGACUUUGGGAUAACUUCAGGAAACUGGGGCUAAUACCGGAUAGGAGCUCCUGCGGCAUGGUGGGGGGUGGAAAGUUUCGGCGGUUGGGGAUGGACUCGCGGCUUAUCAGCUUGUUUGUGGGGUAGUGGCUUACCAAGGCAUUGACGGGUAGCCGGCCUGAGAGGGUGACCAGGCACAUUGGGACUGAGGUACGGCGCAGACUCCUACGGGAGGCAGCAGUGGGGAAUAUUGCACAAUGGGCCGAAGCCUGAUGCAGCGACGCCGCGUGCGGGAUGACGGCCUUCGGGUUGUAAACCGCUUUCGCCUGUGACGAAGCGUGAGUGACGGUAAUGGGUAAAGAAGCACCGGCUAACUACGUG
rnacentral:rRNA from 1 species